UCAGCACAGAGCUCAGCUCUGGGCUCGAAAUCACGAACUGUGAGAUCAUGACCUGAGCGGAAGUCAGACGCUUAACCAACUGAGCCACCCAGGUGCCCCUUUUUAAACUUUUUUUUUAAAGUUUAUUUAUUUAUUUUUAAAGAGAGAGAGGGAGACAGUGGGGAGUGGAGGGGCAGAUAGGGAAAGAGAGAGGAUUCCAAGCAGGCUCCAAACUGUCAGUGCAGAACCCAAUGCAGGGCUGAAACUUACACACUGAGAUUAUGACCUGAGCUGAAACCAAAAGUCAGAUGCUUAACCAACUGAGCCACCCAGGGGCCCCAAGAAGCUUUGUUUUUAACUCUAGUUUUAUCACAAAUCUAGUAACAUAAACCCUAGUAAUUAAUGAUUAAUAAUUCUGAAUGGUGACUUAAAGGAAAAAAUAAAAGGAAGAGAACCUGAAUUAUUUACGUCCAGGCAAAUACUACUAAAGGAUGUAAUAUUUCAUUAAUUUCACUGGUUAUUAAUCUAUAAAUUAGACAUAUGUAUAUGGAAUGAAAUAGAAGAGUUGCUGAGUCUUCUAUUUUUCAUUAACCUAACUUGGAAUUCAAACUGUUAAAUAAAAGAAACUAUAACUGUACCUUGGUUUAUUGAGCGUGUAAAUAUUUGUUGAAUAAACAGACAAGUUGACUUCUUGCUGAUUUAUGAAAGCAAUUCCCAGGCAUAGUGCUUAUAGUGAAUAUUAUGGCAGAGCCUGCUAAAUGCCUCCCUAGGAGUCAGGCACCCUCUCUUCUUGCAGAAACCUCAUUUUACUAAGAAUGGCAAUGUGUCUAGCCAAAAAACAUUUCCUACCCUCCCUUGUAGGUAAGAGGAGGCUUCAUUGCUAAGUUCUGGGUCUUCUAGGGAAGGUCUUUAAAAAGGGGCUUACUUGGGGUGCCUGGGUGACUCAGGUGGUUAAGCAUCUGACAUUGGUUCAGGUCAUGAUCUCACAGUUUGGGAGUUCAAGUCCUGUGUCGGGCUCUGUGCUGACAGUUCAGAACCUGGAGCCUACUUUAGAAUCUGUGACUCCGUCUCUCUCUGCCCCUCCCCACUCACGCUCUCUCAAAAAAUAAAUAAAUGUUAAAUAAAUAAAUAAAAAUAAAAAGGGGUUUACUCAGCUGACAAGCAACUAGUAAACUUUUGCUCUUCCUCCUUCCUUCUGCCUGGAACCCAUGUUGUGAUUGGAGCUGUGCUGCUUACAUUAUGACCAUGAGCUGAGCUUGGGGAUGGACGAUAAAGAUGGUUGAGGAAGAAGAUGCACCACUUAGAAUAUUGGUGACAAAAAGGAACCAUCUUUCUUCAUAAGAAGAAAUCCAUUAUAUAACUGAUACUUUGCAUAACGAUCCUGAAAAAAGUAUUGGCUCCUAUUUCGCAAAAUAAAGGAAUUAAGGCUUGAAGAGGUUAUAAAUUCCCAAGGUCACAGGGCUGCUAUUCAUCAGGGGACACUAAUGACACAAGCAAUGGAGAUACAACUGCAUCAAGAUAUUAAUGCUUUAUUGACUUCCUAAAGGUGACUACCAGUCAAAUGUUAUAUUUGAUACAUGCACCAGAAUGUAUGUACCACUUAUAACUUAAUAAAAUACUUAAUAACCUAUUUCUAAGAUUUAAGAAUUCAAAUUUACCAAACUGUUGCAUAUGCCUACUACUCCUCUCAUCUAUUAUCCCAGCCUCUCCAAAAGUGAACCAUUAUCCUACUAUCUUUAUAUAUGCCUAAACAAUAUAUUGUUUCCUUUUUCUUGUUUCUGAGCUCUCUAAAGUAGUAUCAUACUAUUUGUAGUCUUCUGGGAAGUACUUUUUACACUAUCAUUUUCUUUCUAAGAUUUACACACAUAUGUGUGUAGUUCUGAUUUUUACUGCUUUAUAUUAUUCCACAACUGAAUAUACUACAGUGUACAUUUUAUGAUCAAUGGACAUUUGGGUUGUUUUUAGAUUUUUGCUGUUAAAAAAACACUCUAGGAACACUCUUGUACUGUUUCCUGAUGCGUUUGUACAAGAGUUUUCUAGGGUAAACAUUUGGGAAUGGAAUUGCUGGAUCAGGGUAUGUGAAUAUUCAAUACACACCCUCAACUCUGCAUAUCAAGAUAAUGGUUCUUUAAAAA